UACCCUGAAUAAUAUCGAUAGUUGUAAAAUGUAGACAGGGUUUUGUAUUGAAUGAUUUUAGGUUUAAAGUUGUUGUGGGACGUACAUGGUAGUUUGGUUCUUCGUACGGUUUUGAGUGAUAUAACUUGUACACACUGGGUGCAUAAUAAUGUAAAGGUACACUGAAUAGUAGUAAUCACCAACAGCAACAAAUAGAUCUCCACAAGGUAAGUCUGUUGGCUGUAUUUUAAUGAAGACCAUCGCUGGACUUCAGGAUCUUCCUCCGUUCAGCUCAAGGUGAGGCGCUGGUUAUGUUUUUUCUUUGGUUGGUUCCGGCCGGAAUGUUCGGAUUCCGGUCGGACGGUUUGUGCUUCCCGCCGUGGAAGGUUCUGAGUGCGGUCACUUGAUUUAGUCCCAAUGGUUAGCAUAGAAUGUUGUAGUCUUGACAACCAUAAGAAACUACCUGGCAGUUAGUUGGACAGGAGUCCCCUGAGGGAGUCUGGCGGAACGUUCUGGAUUGUAUUUGCGUGACCUCGAGCCGUUGCCAACGGAAACUAUUUUUUCAGUCGUUUCCAUUGGGAAUUGUUCCCUUAUCUUAAGCAACUUAAGUUUGAUAUUAAAUACAUACUGACACGUACGUCGUACAAUAUGUUGAUAAUUUCCGAUGGUUGCGGCGUACUUAUAACCACGAUGACGUGACGGGACUCUCGCUGCGUACAAAACGGCGUUCUACUUGCGGGCCCAUUUUUGACAUCAGUGAAGGCUGAAGAUCAUUUCAAGGUGGAAGACAAUUUGACAUUUCUUCAACGGAACCUAGCACCUGAAUAUGGCAGAGUAUAUUUGAUUUAAUAUUGAUACUGCUUAGUGUUCUUUGUUACUUCAGCUUUUGUACGUUCUAAAUAUCUGCUGUCAUUAAUUGCCACAGAAGUUAAACCCUACCCAAUGGAAUGACGUUAAACAAUGACUUUGGUGCAGAGUUACCAACUGGAUAAUAUCAAAGCUAAAAUAAUGGCCGUCCUUCCCACAUGUUACAAAUGAAGAUACUCUAGAACUGUACAAUCUUAAAAAGGUAACAUGUAGUUUGUCCCAAGGUGUCUGCCUCCUCACCCAGAGCAAGACCUCCAUCUCCUUACCCAGAGCCAGACCUCCACCUCCUCAGCCAGAGCCAGACCUCCACCUCCUCAGCCAGAGCCAGACCUCCACCUCCUCAGCCAGAGCCAGACCUCCACCUCCUCACCCAGAGCCAGACCUCCACCUCCUGUCAGAAGUCCUCCAGAACAGCUGAAAGGCGAGGCUGAGAGGCUGGGGACCGGAGGCUUGUGGUGCCAGGAUGGACCGGAGACUGAGGCUGGAGACCAGGGGCCUGCAGCACCGGACCAGAGGACCAGGAAUCCAUGGCUGAAGGAGCUGAUGAAGGAGCUGAUGGAGGAGCCGUGCUGCUGAUGGAGGAGCCGUGCUGGAGGAGCUGAUGGAGGAGCCGAGCUGAUGGAGGAGCCGUGCUGAAGGAGCUGAUGGAGGAGUCGUGUUGAAGGCCCUGCCUGGUGGAGGUUGUCUGUCGUGGGACCAGGACUCUGUCUGAGGAGAGCUGCUGGAGGAGCUGAGACGCUGGAGGACGACUAGGAAUCGCCCAACAAGGAUUCCUCAACGUGUUUCUGGAGCGGAGGCGAGUUGGUAGGGGAGCCGUGAAUCUGGAGGAUGACCAUCACUCUACCAACAAGGAUUACGUUAGGGCCAGACUUGCGCUGUUUGUUCCAGACCAGGACUCUGGCUGAGGAGAGCUGUUGUUACGUGCCAUUAGAGCCCAACUACUCCUGUGUUUGCUACCUUACAUUAGAGACAAACUACUACUGUGUUUGUUACCUUACAUUAGAGACGAAUUACGUUUGUAACCAGACCAGAAAUCUGGAGGACUGAUGGGGAAGACGUACAUCUGGAAGGCAAAUCCUGAGGACGAUCAGGACUCUACCAUCAAGGAUUCCUCGUAAACACACCUGAGCUGAACCUCACCUGAUCCUGUUUGGUCGGGGGUAGAAUCACCUGAGCUGAACCCGCCCUGAUCCUGACAUCCUGCAGGUCCCGUCUCCUCAGUUCAUCUGCGCCUCGCCUCCAGAAGACUUGCUGAGCUCAGCGGUCUGAGGCGGAUCAAUGACCUCCAGUGGGAGUGAUCUUCUUGACCCCACAUGUAACCGUGUGCUUCCACACGCCUUUCCCUCACGUCUGUCACUAACCUCACUCCUUCACUACUCUCUACUGCUUCCUCUUCUUCUUCCUUCUCUGUGGUUCGAACCUUUACACUGAAGGCGCGUCUUCCUGCCCUCAGAGGGUUCAGCGUUAGGGUUGAGAGUCAGGGUUUAGAGUCAGGGACAGAGCUGGUCAGGGAGGACUGCUUUACACAAACCUCUUCACUUGCUUUCGGAAU